GUAGGGUCCAAGCGUUAAUCGGAAUUACUGGGCGUAAAGCGUGCGCAGGCGGUUGUGCAAGACCGAUGUGAAAUCCCCGGGCUUAACCUGGGAAUUGCAUUGGUGACUGCACGGCUAGAGUGUGUCAGAGGGGGUAGAAUUCCACGUGUAGCAGUGAAAUGCGUAGAGAUGUGGAGGAAUACCGAUGGCGAAGGCAGCCCCCUGGGAUAACACUGACGCUCAUGCACGAAAGCGUGGGGGGAGCAAACAGGAUUAGAUACCCUGGUAGUCCACGCCCCUAAACGAUGUCAACUAGUUGUUGGGGAUUCAUUUCCUUAGUAACGUAGCUAACGCGUGAAGUUUGACCGCCUGGGAGUACGGUCGCAAGAUUA
rnacentral:rRNA from 1 species